rnacentral:rRNA from 1 species
UACGGAGGGGGCUAGCGUUGUCCGAAGUUACUGGGCGUAAAGCGCGCGUAGGCGGGUUGGUAAGUCCGCUGUGAAAGCCCGGAGCUUAACUCCGGAGGGUCGGUGGAUACUGCCAGUCUUGAAGGUGCUAGGGGGAGAUGGAAUUACCGGUGUAGCGGUGAAAUGCGUAGAUAUCGGUAGGAACACCAGUGGCGAAGGCGGCGAUCUGGGAAGAUACUGACGCUGAGGUGCGAAAGCGUGGGGAGCAAACAGG